UUAAGAAACAAAGAGCGCACGGUGGAUGCCUUGGCACUAAUAGGCGAAGAAGGACGCGACUAACAGCGAAAUGCUACGGGGAGCAGUAAGUACGCAGAGAUCCGUAGAUGUCCGAAUGGGGGAACCCACUAGUUUGAAGAACUAGUAUCAUAUAGUGAAUACAUAGCGAUAUGAGGCAAACCUGGAGAAUUGAAACAUCUUAGUACCCAGAGGAAAAGAAAAUAAAUAAUGAUUCCCUAAGUAGAGGCGAUUGAAAGGGGAAGAGCCCAGCACCAUCAAGAGUUACAAAAUCUUUUUAUAGUAGAAUUGUAUUGGAAAAGCAAGUCAAAGAAGGUGAAAGCCCUGUAUACGAAAUAAAGAGAUCUCGGUGUGAGAGUAGGGCGGAGCACGUGAAAUUCUGUCUGAAUAUGCGAGGACCAUCUCGUAAGGCUAAAUACUCAUUAGUGACCGAUAGUGAACCAGUACUGUGAAGGAAAGGUGAAAAGAACCCCUGGCGGGGAGUGAAAAGAACCUGAAACCGUGUGCUUACAAACAGUUAGAGCCCAUCAAUGGGUGAUAGCGUGCCUUUUGUAGAAUGAGCCGGCGAGUUACGUUAAUUUGCAAGGUUAAGCUUUUAGGAGUGGAGCCGUAGCGAAAGCAAGUCUUAAUAGGGCGAAUAAGUAGAUUGACGUAUACCCGAAACCGGGUGAUCUAGCCAUGAGCAGGUUGAAGCUUGGGUAAAACCAGGUGGAGGACCGAACCAGGGUCUGUUGAAAAAGACUUGGAUGACUUGUGGCUAGGGGUGAAAUUCCAAUCGAACCCGGAGAUAGCUGGUUCUCCCCGAAAUAGCUUUAGGGCUAGCGUUGUGAGAAGAGUUAUACGAAGGUAGAGCACUGAAUGGGUGAGGGCCGCACCUCGCGGUACCAAUCUCAAUCAAACUCCGAAUGUCGUAUAAUAUGCGCAGCAGUAAGACUAUGGGUGAUAAGGUCCAUGGUCAAAAGGGAAACAGCCCAGACCGCCAGUUAAGGUCCCAAAAUUAUGCUAAGUGGGAAAGGAGGUGGAGUCGCUUAAACAACUAGGAGGUUGGCUCAGAAGCAGCCAUCCUUUAAAGAGUGCGUAAUAGCUCACUAGUCGAGUGAUUCUGCGCCGAAAAUGUAUCGGGGCUAAGCAUAAUACCGAAGCUGCGGGAUUAGAUGAAGAAUCUAAUCGGUAGGGGAGCGUACUAAGUGCGUAGAAGGUUGACCGGAAGGGCAGCUGGAGCGCUUAGCAGUGAGUAUGCCGGUGUGAGUAGCGAUAAGAUGGGUGAGAAUCCCAUCCGUCGAAAGCCUAAGGUUUCCAGGGGUAAGGCUCGUCCUCCCUGGGUAAGUCGGGUCCUAAGGUGAGGCUGAGAAGCGUAGCUGAUGGACAUCAGGUUGAUAUUCCUGAACCACCAUAAAACUGAAGGAAUGACGGAGGAGGCUAAUCAGAGCUGAUUAAUGGAUUUCAGUUUAAGUACAAAGAGGGUUACGUAGGCAAAUCCGCGUAGCAAAACCUUGAAGUAUGAUGACGUAAGUCUGGUGAAGCCACACUUCCAAGAAAAGUUUCUAGGUGUAUUUUAUGGUGCCCGUACCGUAAACGGACACACGUAGGCGAGGAGAGAAUCCAAAGACGCGCGAGAUAAUUCUUGUUAAGGAACUCUGCAAAAUUACUCUGUAACUUCGGAAUAAAGAGGGCUCCCGUGAGGGAGACGCAGAAAAUAGGCCCAAGCGACUGUUUAACAAAAACAUAGGUUUCUGCUAAAGCGUAAGCUGAUGUAUAGGAGCUGACGCCUGCCCAGUGCUGGAAGGUUAAGAGGAGAAGUUAGUCGCAAGGCGAAGCUUUGAAUUGAAGCCCCAGUAAACGGCGGCCGUAACUAUAACGGUCCUAAGGUAGCGAAAUUCCUUGUCAGGUAAGUUCUGACCCGCACGAAAGGCGUAACGAUUUGGGCGCUGUCUCAACAAGAAACUCGGUGAAAUCAUAGUACCUGUGAAGAUGCAGGUUACCCGCGAUCAGACGGAAAGACCCCAUGGAGCUUCACUGCAACUUAAUAUUGAUAUUGGGUGUGUGAUGUACAGGAUAGGUGGGAGACAAAGAAGCGAGUACGCUAGUAUUCGUGGAGUCAACCUUGGGAUACCACCCCUCGCACAUUUAGUAUCUAACUAGUUUCCAUAAACUGGGAAUAGAACAGUGUUAGGUGGGCAGUUUGACUGGGGCGGUCGCCUCCC
rnacentral:rRNA from 1 species